AACGAACGCUGGCGGCAUGCCUAACACAUGCAAGUCGAACGAAGCCUUCGGGCUUAGUGGCGCACGGGUGCGUAACACGUGGGAAUCUGCCCUUUGGUUCGGAAUAACAGUUAGAAAUGACUGCUAAUACCGGAUAAUGACGUAAGUCCAAAGAUUUAUCGCCGAAGGAUGAGCCCGCGUAGGAUUAGGUAGUUGGUGGGAUAAUGGCCCACCAAGCCGACGAUCCUUAGCUGGUCUGAGAGGAUGAUCAGCCACACUGGGACUGAGACACGGCCCAGACUCCUACGGGAGGCAGCAGUGGGGAAUAUUGGACAAUGGGCGAAAGCCUGAUCCAGCAAUGCCGCGUGAGUGAUGAAGGCCUUAGGGUUGUAAAGCUCUUUUACCAGGGAUGAUAAUGACAGUACCUGGAGAAUAAGCUCCGGCUAACUCCGUGCCAGCAGCCGCGGUAAUGUCUGUACU
rnacentral:rRNA from 1 species